rnacentral:rRNA from 1 species
UGAGGAAUAUUGGUCAAUGGGCGAGAGCCUGAACCAGCCAAGUCGCGUGAAGGAAGACAGUCCUAAGGAUUGUAAACUUCUUUUAUACGGGAAUAACGGGCGAUACGAGUAUUGCAUUGAAUGUACCGUAAGAAUAAGCAUCGGCUAACUCCGUGCCAGCAGCCGCGGUAAUACGGAGGAUGCGAGCGUUAUCCGGAUUUAUUGGGUUUAAAGGGUGCGUAGGUUGUUCGGUAAGUCAGCGGUGAAACCUGAGCGCUUAACGUUCAGCCUGCCGUUGAAACUGCCGGGCUUGAGUUCAGUGGCGGCAGGCGGAAUUCGUGGUGUAGCGGUGAAAUGCAUAGAUAUCACGAGGAACUCCGAUUGCGAAGGCAGCUUGCCAUACUGCGACUGACACUGAAGCACGAAGGCGUGGGUAUCAAACAGG